GCUACGGGGCGCAGCAGUGAGGAAUAUUGGUCAAUGGACGGAAGUCUGAACCAGCCAUGCCGCGUGCAGGAAGACGGCUCUAUGAGUUGUAAACUGCUUUUGUACGAGGGUAAACGCAGAUACGCGUAUCUGUCUGAAAGGAUCGUACGAAUAAGGAUCGGCUAACUCCGUGCCAGCAGCCUCGGUAAUACGGAGGAUUCAAGCGUUAUCCGGAUUUAGUGGGGUGAAAGGGUGCGUAGGCGGUCGGCUAAGUUAGAGGUGAAAUCCCGAGGCUACACUUCGGAAUUGCCUCUGAUACUGUUCGGCUAGAGCGUAGUUGCGGUCGGCGGAAUGUCUGGUGUAGCUGUGAAAUGCUUAGAGUUCAUAC
rnacentral:rRNA from 1 species